AAAACUGGUUGAAGCCUUCUGACAAUGAUCUAAAUGUCCUUAAUAUGACUGAAGAAUAUGAGAUUAGUGAAUCAAUUGUUUCAGAGUUUCAAGUAGCUACUGGUGGAGCAGCUGCUCCUACACAGGCUGGGCCUGUUUAAUUCUCGCCUAGCUGUGAAUUUUUGAAUAUUUUGGAGUCACUUUGUGAUUCAAUAAGACAAGCCUUUCUUUUUGGAGUCAUUUUUUGAAACUAAGGAUGGAACCGUUUCAGUAGCUACUGCGUUUGCUGGUCAUCAGGAAGGUAAUGCCUCUGCAUAAUGUUCAUGGAUCAUUUGUUAUGUUUAUUUAUUUCAGAUUGUUGUUAUUUAUGAGAAUCAUGUUUAUUUAUUUCAGAUUGUUGUUAUUUCAUAUUGCUGUUGUUAUGAGAAUCAUGACUCAGAAACUUUUUGGGCAGCCACUGCUGCUAGUUUCAUAACAAUUCAGUGUUCGAAAUGUUACAUUUUUUUGACUUGGGGAUUAACAAAUCUAUAUUCAUUAAGCCCAAGACAUUUCACCUUACAGUACUAAUGCUUAAGCUGUGGAAUAAAGACAGAGUGGGGCAUAUCAAGAGGAGACUGAAUAGCUCAACCUUCUUGCUGAAUGGAAGAGAAAGAAAGGUG